rnacentral:rRNA from 1 species
AAUCGGAAUUACUGGGCGUAAAGCGCACGCAGGCGGUCUGUCAAGUCGGAUGUGAAAUCCCCGGGCUCAACCUGGGAACUGCAUUCGAAACUGGCAGGCUAGAGUCUUGUAGAGGGGGGUAGAAUUCCAGGUGUAGCGGUGAAAUGCGUAGAGAUCUGGAGGAAUACCGGUGGCGAAGGCGGCCCCCUGGACAAAGACUGACGCUCAGGUGCGAAAGCGUGGGGAGCAAACAGGAUUAGAUACCCUGGUAGUCCACGCUGUAAACGAUGUCGAUUUGGAGGUUGUGCCCUUGAGGCGUGGCUUCCGGAGCUAACGCGUUAAAUCGACCGCCUGGGGAGUACGGCCGCAAGGUUAAAACUCAAAUGAAUUGACGGGGGCCCGCACAAGCGGUGGAGCAUGUGGUUUAAUUCGAUGCAACGCGAAGAACCUUACCUGGUCUUGACAUCCACAGAACUUUCCAGAGAUGGAUUGGUGCCUUCGGGAACUGUGAGACAGGUGCUGCAUGGCUGUCGUCAGCUCGUGUUGUGAAAUGUUGGGUUAAGUCCCGCAACGAGCGCAACCCUUAUCCUUUGUUGCCAGCGGUUCGGCCGGGAACUCAAAGGAGACUGCCAGUGAUAAACUGGAGGAAGGUGGGGAUGACGUCAAGUCAAUCAUGGCCCUUACGACCAGGGCUACACACGUGCUACAAUGGCAUAUACAAAGAGAAGCGACCUCGCGAGAGCAAGCGGACCUCAUAAAGUAUGUCGUAGUCCGGAUUGGAGUCUGCAACUCGACUCCAUGAAGUCGGAAUCGCUAGUAAUCGUAGAUCAGAAUGCUACGGUGAAUACGUUCCCGGGCCUUGUACACACCGCCCGUCACACCAUGGGAGUGGGUGCAAAGG